rnacentral:rRNA from 1 species
GACGAACGCUGGCGGCGUGCCUAAUACAUGCAAGUAGAACGCUGAAGAGAGGAGCUUGCUCUUCUUGGAAGAGUUGCGAACGGGUGAGUAACGCGUAGGUAACCUGCCUUGUAGCGGGGGAUAACUAUUGGAAACGAUAGCUAAUACCGCAUAACAAUGGGUGACCCAUGUCAUUCAUUUGAAAGGGGCAACUGCUCCACUACAAGAUGGACCUGCGUUGUAUUAGCUAGUAGGUGAGGUAACGGCUCACCUAGGCGACGAUACAUAGCCGACCUGAGAGGGUGAUCGGCCACACUGGGACUGAGACACGGCCCAGACUCCUACGGGAGGCAGCAGUAGGGAAUCUUCGGCAAUGGGGGCAACCCUGGCCGAGCAACGCCGCGUGAGUGAAGAAGGUUUUCGGAUCGUAAAGCUCUGUUGUAAGUCAAGAACGAGUGUGAGAGUGGAAAGUUCACACUGUGACGGUAGCUUACCAGAAAGGGACGGCUAACUACGUGCCAGUAGCCGCGGUAAUACGUAGGUCCCGAGCGUUGUCCGGAUUUAUUGGGCGUAAAGCGAGCGCAGGCGGUUUGAUAAGUCUGAAGUUAAAGGCUGUGGCUCAACCAUAGUUCGCUUUGGAAACUGUCAAACUUGAGUGCAGAAGGGGAGAGUGGAAUUCCAUGUGUAGCGGUGAAAUGCGUAGAUAUAUGGAGGAACACCGGUGGCGAAAGCGGCUCUCUGGUCUGUAACUGACGCUGAGGCUCGAAAGCGUGGGGAGCGAACAGG